rnacentral:rRNA from 1 species
UAGCCGCAAGGUCUGUAUACAGGUGGUGCAUGGUUGUCGUCAGCUCGUGUCGUGAGAUGUUGGGUUAAGUCCCGCAACGAGCGCAACCCUCGUUCUGUGUUGCCAGCAUUUAGUUGGGGACUCACAGGAGACUGCCGGGGUUAACUCGGAGGAAGGUGGGGAUGACGCCAAAUCAUCAUGCCCCUUAUGUCUUGGGCUGCACGCAUGCUACAAUGGCUGGUACAAACGGCUGCGAUACCGCAAGGUGGAGCGAAUCCGAGAAAGCCAGUCUCAGUUCGGAUUGGGGUCUGCAACUCGACCCCAUGAAGUCGGAGUUGCUAGUAAUCGUAGAUCAGCAACGCUACGGUGAAUACGUUCCCGGGGCUUGUACACACCGCCCGUCACAUCACGAAAGUCGGUAACACCCGAAGUCAGUGCCCAAC